UACGUAGGGGGCUAGCGUUGUCCGGAAUCAUUGGGCGUAAAGCGCGUGUAGGCGGUCCGGUAAGUCCGCUGUGAAAGUCGAGGGCCCAACCCUCGAAUGCCGGUGGAUACUGUCGGGCUAGAGUGCGGAAGAGGCGAGUGGAAUUCCUGGUGUAGCGGUGAAGUGCGCAGAUAUCAGGAGGAACACCUAUUGCGAAGGCAGCUCGCUGGGACGUUACUGACGCUGAGACGCGAAAGCGUGGGGAGCAAACAGG
rnacentral:rRNA from 1 species